rnacentral:ncRNA from 1 species
UAAUGCAUUCCAACCAAUUCACUCCGUCCCAUAAGAAGUUAUCACUUCAAAACAAGUUUGAUUCGUUGAAAUUUUAUUAUUUCAUCGAGGUAAAAAUUUUACAAUUGGUUACCCGAUUCGAUCGUCGGAACUGGGUGUAGGGGCGAAAUACUAAUCGAACCAUCUAGUAGCUGGUUCCCUCCGAAGUUUCUCUCAGGAUAGCUGGCACUUGCUUGAGCGAGUCUCAUCUGGUAAAGCGAAUGAUUAGAGUCCUUGGGGCCAAAACGACCUCAACCUAUUCUCAAACCUUAAAUGGGUGAGAUCUCUGGCUUGCUUGAAGGUUGAAGCCACGAGAUUAUUGCAAUGGAUCAGAGUGCCAAGUGGGCCAAUUUUGGUAAGCAGAACUGGCGCUGUGGGAUGAACCAAACGCCGAGUUAAGGCGCCUAAGUCGACGCUUAUGGGAUACCAUGAAAGGCGUUGGUUGCUUAAGACAGCAGGACGGUGGCCAUGGAAGUCGGAAUCCGCUAAGGAGUGUGUAACAACUCACCUGCCGAAGCAACUAGCCCUGAAAAUGGAUGGCGCUGAAGCGUCGCGCCUAUACUCGGCCGUCAGAGGCAAGUGGGGCGGCGAGCAGCGAUGCUCGUCGUCAUGAAGCCCUGACGAGUAGGAGGGUCGCGGCGGUGUGCGCAGAAGGGUCUGGGCGUGAGCCUGCCUGGAGCCGCCGUCGGUGCAGAUCUUGGUGGUAGUAGCAAAUACUCCAGCGAGGCCCUGGAGGACUGACGUGGAGAAGGGUUUCGUGUGAACAGCCGUUGCACACGAGUCAGUCGAUCCUAAGCCCUAGGAGAAAUCCUAUGUCGAUGACGGUGUAUGUUUCUAAAGUAUUUUUUGACUAAAGUGCACACCCGUCGGGCGAAAGGGAAUCCGGUUCCUAUUCCGGAACCCGGCAGCGGAACCGCAUACAANUUGCUUGAGCGAGUCUCAUCUGGUAAAGCGAAUGAUUAGAGUCCUUGGGGCCAAAACGACCUCAACCUAUUCUCAAACCUUAAAUGGGUGAGAUCUCUGGCUUGCUUGAAGGUUGAAGCCACGAGAUUAUUGCAAUGGAUCAGAGUGCCAAGUGGGCCAAUUUUGGUAAGCAGAACUGGCGCUGUGGGAUGAACCAAACGCCGAGUUAAGGCGCCUAAGUCGACGCUUAUGGGAUACCAUGAAAGGCGUUGGUUGCUUAAGACAGCAGGACGGUGGCCAUGGAAGUCGGAAUCCUCUAAGGAGUGUGUAACAACUCACCUGCCGAAGCAACUAGCCCUGAAAAUGGA